rnacentral:rRNA from 1 species
AUGAAGCACGCAUCCAGGAGACCUGCUUCACCUCCAAUGAUCCACCUCUACCUCACACACAUCAUGGCUCCUCCUUGGCUGGUGUGCGUGAGUUCUUCCUUGGCAUGCCCCGGAGUAAGAAGACAGCAGAUAAAAACCGCGAAUGGCCCCUGGCCGGCAGCGCCGCCUCCACGAGGACCAGCCUGCUGCUUCACCUGUCCCCGCCUCAUCCAUCUUCCCUCUUCCAUUGAGCCUCCUAUCCCCGCCUCUUCCCUCUUGGAGCCUCACCCGCGACGGGCCGACAACUGCUUGUCAUGUCCGCCUGCCUCCAGUGCCCCUUCGCCCCACCACCAGGCCUUACUUGCGCCAGAUCUGGAUCCAGGCACCGCCGAUGACCGGAUAAACAACGGAGAGAGGGAAGUUGAGGUGGGGAAUAAGCAAUGGUGGUGGAGGAGGAGUAGGCGAUGCCGAGGCCCUGGUGACAAGCGGGGAGGAGGGAGGGGCAGUGGAUCGAGGGGAAAGUGGGAGCUA